rnacentral:misc_RNA from 1 species
CUGAGUGAGGGCCUCCGGUCCGACCUCCAACCCUUUGUGAAUCUCGACCCUGUUGCCUCGGGGGCGACCCGGCCUUCGGGCGUCGGGGCCCCCGGUGGACCAUUCAACUCUGCAUCUUUGCGUCUGAGUCUUUAUAUGAAUUAAAUCA